rnacentral:tRNA from 1 species
GGCGGCGUGGCCGAGUGGCUUAGGCAAGGGACUGCAAAUCCCUGUACGGGGGGUUCGAUUCCCCCCCGCCGCCUCCA